rnacentral:rRNA from 1 species
AUACGGAGGGUGCAAGCGUUAUCCGGAUUUAUUGGGUUUAAAGGGUGCGCAGGCGGACCUGUCAGUCAGUGGUGAAAUCCCGGGGCUCAACCCCGGAACUGCCAUUGAUACUACAGGUAUUGAAUACGGUUGAAGUAGGCGGAAUGUAGCAUGUAGCGGUGAAAUGCAUAGAUAUGCUACAGAACACCGAUCGCGAAGGCAGCUUACUAAGCCGAUAUUGACGCUCAGGCACGAAAGCGUGGGUAGCGAACAGGAUUAGAAACCCUAGUAGUCC